rnacentral:rRNA from 1 species
UGAAACUGUGAAUGGCUCAUUAAAUCAGUUAUGGUUCCUUUGGUCGCUCGCUCGUAUCCUACUUGGAUAACUGUGGUAAUUCUAGAGCUAAUACAAGCCGACGGGCGUUGACCCCCUUCGCGGGGGGGAUGCGUGCAUUUAUCAGAUCAAAACCAACCCGGUCAGCCCCUCUCCGGCCCCGGCCGGGGGGCGGGCGCUGGCGGGUAAGAUGAAUGUAGAUAACCUAGGGCCGAGAGCAAGCCCCCCGUGGCGGCGAUGACUCAUUUGAACGUCUGCCCUAUCAACUUUCGAUGGUAGUGGCUGUGCCUACCAUGGCGGUCACGGGUGACGGGGAAUCAGGGUUCGAUUCCGGAGAGGGAGCCUGAGAAACGGCUACCACAUCCAAGGAAGGCAGCCGGCGAGCAAAUUAGCCCCUUCCUACCUGGGGGGGUCGUUUCUAAAGAAAACCAUACAGGGAUCUUUCGAGGCCCUGUAAUUGAAAUGAGUCCACUUUUAAUCCUUUANCGAGGAUC